rnacentral:rRNA from 1 species
AACCUCCGCAAUGUGAGAAAUCGCGACGGGGGGAUCCCAAGUGCCAUUCUUAACGGGAUGGCUUUUCAUUAGUGUAAAGAGCUUUUGGAAUAAGGGCUGGGCAAGACCGGUGCCAGCCGCCGCGGUAACACCGGCAGCUCUAGUGGUAGCAGUUUUUAUUGGGCCUAAAGCGUCCGUAGCCGGUUUAAUAAGUCUCUGGUGAAAUCCUGUAGCUUAACUGUGGGAAUUGCUGGAGAUACUAUUAGACUUGAGACCGGGAGAGGUUAGAGGUACUCCCAGGGUAGAGGUGAAAUUCUGUAAUCCUGGGAGGACCGCCUGUUGCGAAGGCGUCUAACUGGAACGGUUCUGACGGUGAGGGACGAAAGUUAGGGGCGCGAACCGGAUUAGAUACCCGGGUAGUCCUAACUGUAAACGAUGCGGACUUGGUGUUGGGGUGGCUUUGAGCUGCUUCAGUGCCGAAGGGAAGCUGUUAAGUCCGCCGCCUGGGAAGUACGGUCGCAAGACUAAAACUUAAAGGAAGU